rnacentral:rRNA from 1 species
AUUGGACGCUGGCGGCAUGCCUUACACAUGCAAGUCGAACGGCAGCACGGGUGCUUGCACCUGGUGGCGAGUGGCGAACGGGUGAGUAAUACAUCGGAACGUACCUUAUCGUGGGGGACAACGCAGCGAAAGCUGUGCUAAUACCGCAUACGCCCUGAGGGGGAAAGCGGGGGAUCGCAAGACCUCGCGCGAUUAGAGCGGCCGAUGCCUGAUUGGCUAGUUGGUGGGGUAAAAGCCCACCAAGGCGACGAUCAGUAGCUGGUCUGAGAGGACGAUCAGGCACACUGGGACUGAGACACGGCUCAGACUCCUACGGGAGGCAGCAGUGGGGAAUUUUGGACAAUGGGGGCAACCCUGAUCCAGCAAUGCCGCGUGAGUGAAGAAGGCCUUCGGGUUGUAAAGCUCUUUUGUCAGGGAAGAAACACCGGCUCUAACACAGUCCGGGAAUGACGGUACCUGAAGAAUAAGCACCGGCUAACUACGUGCCAGCCGCCGCCGUAA